GUAUGUCUAUUUGUAUAUAUACAUAUAGGUAAGAUAUAUUUAUUUAUUUAAUUUGUAGAAUUAAAUAUAUAUAUAUAAAUAGAUAGACCGACACGAACCACACUCCAUACCAGUAAGUGGCGAUAAUGCUACUAAACGUUUGUUGCCAACCGCCAAUAACACCAACAAGAAGAAGAAGAAGAAGGGAGGUGUCAGAAUGCACAUCAUAACGUUAUUUGCCAACUGCCAAAAAAUAACACAGAAGAAGAAGAAGGGAGGUGUCAGCUCGUUGUCUCACAUAGCGUGGAAGAUGUUUUUUGCCAGAGAUUCUGUGGAUCCUUUGUGCCUCUGGUUUAUUCUUGCCAUGUUCUGAGGAUCAAGGUAAUUCAAGCCUCGAUGUCUCAGCUGUGAGCCUCCACUCUGCCUCCUUCCCGGACUCAGGUUUCUAGAGCUUUUGAUUCACCUGCUUCUGAGAACCUUCCACCUGCCUGUCCCCCCUCCCAUGGGAGGAAAGGAUCAAAGAAACACUGAGUCUGAAGAACCUGGAAACCCUUUCCCUUCAGCUGCACCUAUCUGCCAAUCUCAACCAUUGUGGAACAGACUUAUUCCUCCCAGGUUUAGCUGAGAGUUCUGCCUUCGUAAGUCAAAAUCAAAUAAACUGUUUAGUAUUUUUGCCAUCUAAUGCAGGACUUCUCUAAGCCUCUUUUCUCUCUGUGAGACCCCAAUCCUGCCGCUGAUCCAGACCUGAUUCCAGAUCACAUUUACUCCUGUAAAACCUAAUAAAUUGUUAAAACGUUGCCUUGGUUCACUCGUGGUUGUUAUUCAUAGUCUGGUAAAACCCAUUAUGACAAAAGGAAGGUCAUUCCAUAGCUUUGGAGCUGCUACAGGAAAAAGCACGGUCCCCUCUGAGCUGGCGCUUUGUCUUUGGCACCCUCAGAGACAACUGGUCAGCUGACCUGAAGGAAUGGCAUAUCUGCCGGAAAAUCAUUUAUAAAGUUUUUGUUGUACUUUGGUGGCCGAUAGACCACUGCACACAGCACAGUGUCAGGGCUGCCAAGUUCAAAGAGGCUAAGCUCAAAGCUACUAAACGAGGCUGGAGGCAACUGUUUACAGAUAAAACAACCUUCAAAAACAGUCACUAUUCCUUCUCAACCCGACAUGAAGAAGACACCUUGAAGAAUUAAAGUAGAAGUUCAUUAAAAAUGCUGGACUCACCUAAACCACUUGUCCAUGAUUCUGUUAUGAAUAAGAAAUCUAAGCCUUGAGAGGAAAAAUCCUUAAAGACGAAGGUUUUAUUUACCAGAGACCUAGCAUUUAUCAAACCGAUCAUGGCAGAGACCGGCGGGUCUACACCAUCAGCUGCCAUUCAGGACUCCUGGCAAAGAGGCCGCAGGUUGCGAAGAUUCACCCUGCGUCUACAGGGACCAUGGGGCUGUAGUUUAAACACGACACAGGAGCAGCCUGAUCUGAAAACACACUCUUCUUCAACAACUCUUCUCUAUGAGCUGAAUGGGACUUUUCCUUGAGUCAUUCCCCCAUUUGUUCAAUAUUAAGGAUACGUACACUGUAAAAAGCCUUUCUAAGGGAUGGUUCAGGUGAACAAUUUUUGGCAAUUAUUCCAAUUGAUUAAGUUAUGUAUUAGUUAUUUUUUCUGAGUUUUCCCUAACUAAAAACUCACAAUAUUUGUUUAGUGGUGUAUUUUCUGUAAUAAAUUUGAGCUUGUUGCACUUCAUAAGAAAUCAAUUUUAGAAAACGUAUUUUACCAGCUUAAAUGUGAAACAAACAAGCGGGGCAUGCCCAGUUUUACCGAUGGCAACAAAAUUAGGUUUCACCAUUUUCUUCAGCAACCACAGCAGAAAGGACCGUGCAUUUAUUCCAGAUGUUUGUCAGGAUAACCUUUUGCUCCAGACUUGUGAUAGUGGAAACAUUGAAAUAGUCCAUCCUGUUUGGUAUCUGUUUUCCUAUAUGUGUCCUAAAUUAGCUUCUUGUCCAUGAAAUGUCCAGUUCAGACCAGACCAGAUCUACUCUUGCCAGCUCAGGAUGCCACACUUGGAGCCACCUGGAAUGCAGGGCCUUCCCAAUUUAGAGGUUUGCUUACCCAAGAGAAGAUCCCUCUCUUCUCUCCAGGAUUAGAUAUCUGAUGCUCAAGGACAGUUUUAUCUCCAUGUCUCCUCUGUAUUGUGAAUUGCAUUCUCAUCCUGUGAAGGAACUAUAAAAGGCUUUAAGUUCCUGUCUACAGCAGAGCGGGCAGACAUCAUACUGGUUUCAUUGUAUUCUCUGUCCGUUCUCAAUUCUUGCAAGAAUUAAUUAA